AUGGGCCACAGCAAGAAGAAUCCAUCUGUGAACCAGGAAGCAGGCCCUCACCAAACCUGCUGCCACCUUGAUCUUGGACUUCCAGCCUCCAGAGCUGUGACAAAGAAAUUUCUGUUGUUUCUAAGCCACCCAGUGAGAUCCCCAGUCACAGGAUCAAGGUCUGACUUCAUCCUGGGGUUCACAGGGCAGAGACCCAGGUCCCACAAAGAUGAUGUGCUCAGGAAGCCACAGUGGAGCCCCAGAUGCAUCAGCACCAAGCACCUACGUAUUUCCAACAACAGUGUCUUCGGAAUGCGGUGCGUAUUGGACACUUUGAGCGGUUCCCAGCUCCACUUGGUGAGGUUCCAGACACAGAAGCUCAGGAAUGCCACAGCUGUGAGGGACACGGUCUUGCCCAGAUGAGCGAAUCCAGGCCCAGAGAAGGCAGAACACGUGCUCAAGGCUCCCAGCCUCACCUGCGGCCUAGCCUCAGCUCAGGCUGACCUCUCGGAGGCCCGACGUGGGACCAUUCUAUCUUCCGGAGACUGAACGAUCAGAACACCACCCAAUUUAGCAACAUCUGCAAAUUUAAUUAACAAGCUGUUUAUCUUCCUGGCUGAGCGAUUAAUAAAGGUGUCAGGCAGAACA
rnacentral:lncRNA from 13 species